UAUUUUGGGCAUUAUGGAAGACUAGUGAUUUUGUUGUUGUGACGUCAUCAGUACUGACAACAAGUCACAGUCUGCCUCAGUGACCAGAAUC
rnacentral:pre_miRNA from 8 species